rnacentral:rRNA from 1 species
AGAGUUUGAUCCUGGCUCAGGACGAACGCUGGCGGCAUGCCUAAUACAUGCAAGUCGAACGCUGAAGCACUCUGCUUGCAGAGUGCGGAUGAGUGGCGAACGGGUGAGUAACACGUGGGAAAUCUGCCUAGGAGUGGGGGAUAACAUUCGGAAACGGAUGCUAAUACCGCAUAUCUUUUUGAACCGCAUGGUUCUUAAACGAAAGACGGCUUCGGCUGUCGCUCUUAGAUGAUCCCGCGGCGUAUUAGUUAGUUGGUGGGGUAAAGGCCUACCAAGACCAUGAUACGUAGCCGACCUGAGAGGGUGAUCGGCCACACUGGGACUGAGACACGGCCCAGACUCCUACGGGAGGCAGCAGUAGGGAAUCUUCCACAAUGGGUGAAAACCUGAUGGAGCAAUGCCGCGUGAAUGAAGAAGGUCUUCGGAUCGUAAAGUUCUGUUAUUAGAGAAGAACAAGUCAAGGAGUAACUGUCUUGACUUUGACGGUACCUAACCAGAAAGUCACGGCUAACUACGUGCCAGCAGCCGCGGUAAUACGUAGGUGACAAGCGUUGUCCGGAAUUAUUGGGCGUAAAGGGAGCGCAGGCGGUUGGAAUAGUCUGAUGUGAAAGCCCACGGCUUAACCGUGGAAGGUCAUUGGAAACUGUCCAACUUGAAUACAGAAGAGGUAAGUGGAAUUCCAAGUGUAGCGGUGAAAUGCGUAGAUAUUUUGGAGGAACACCAGUGGCGAAGGCGACUUACUGGUCUGUAAUUGACGCUGAAGCUCGAAAGCGUGGGUAACAAACAGGAUUAAAUACCCCUGGUACGUCCACGCCCAAAAACGAUGGAUUGCUAAAGGGGUGGGGGGGGUUUUCCCCC